rnacentral:snoRNA from 1 species
UUUUAUGAUGAUUCAAACUUUAAAAGCUGGAAUUACUGGCUGAAUCUAUAUUUGUUGAUAAACGAAGCACCAAUACGCAACUGAAR